CUGAAUGAUGAGCCAGCUUCAAAGGAGAACCAUAAAGGAGGAAAAUGGACAGGUCUCAUUCGCUCUUCGCAUACGGUGCUAAAGAUGUCCACUGUCAGCUCAGACCUAUUCUGGAAGUUCUCUCAGAAGACUAAGGAACAGGUGAAGGUAAUGCUCAACAUCAAAGAACUAAAAAGGAGUUGUUGACGAG